rnacentral:lncRNA from 12 species
CUGUUGUUGGACACUAAGAUUCUUCUAUAUCUCUACUUUGUCAUUCAUAGCUUUUGCUUCAUCCUUAGGCUCCUUCUUAUGGUCAUAAUACAGCUGUUUGCACAUCAUUAUCCAGGAGAGAAGAUUCACUUCCAUAUCCCCAAGCCCCAUGAGAGGCCUAUGCAUCUUGAACCAACUACUGGAUUUCGUUGUAGCUUUUGUGGCACCCUUGCACUGCACCCUCCGGCAUGCCUUCAGCACCAGGAGUUCAGAAGAGGAGUUGGAGGGCUCAGCAGACAGCGGUCACCGAUACCCUAGGACAGCUUCAGGGUGAACUCAUUAGAAAAGUUGGACUGGAACUGCAGGGGCUACAUUUUGACCACUGAGCCACAGACUGAAUUGAGAGGGGAAGAGCUACAGUGCUUUCCCCUCCCUUUGACAUCUUUGCGAUUUGACUGUGAGAUGUGAGACUGGAAACCACAAGGGCCGCAUAUCCACUGGCUUUUAUGUUCAUUUCUUGUGAUGAAAGCUAUUUCCCCAAAUUCUUUCUCCCUUUCCCUAUUUUCUUUACAGUUAUGUCGAAUAUGGCUAUAUUAUAGUCUAGCAUUAUUAGGAGUGAGAUAUUUAAAAUAUGUGUGAAUUUUCUAGGUAAUUGUGGCAUCCAAACUUUUAUGUUUUAAUUAUUUUUUAAAAGAUUUUGUUUAUUUAUUCAUGAGAGCCACAGAGAGAGAGAGACGCAGAGACAGAGGCAGAGGGAGAAGCAGGGUCCAUUCAGGGAGCCUGACAUGGGACUUGAUCCCGGGACCCCAGGAUCAUGCACUGGGCUGAAGGCAGGCGCCAAACCACCGAGCUACCCAGGGAUCCCCUAAUUGUUUUUAAUAGGGACUCAUUUAUUCAUUUCAGAGAGAGAAGGCAUGAGUAGGGUGAAGAGCAGAAGGGGAGAGAAUCUCAGGUGGACUCUUUGUUGAGUCUGAUGAAGGGCUCAGUCUCAUGACCCUGAGAUCAUGACUUGAGCUGAAAUCAAGAGUUGGUGGCUUUACCAACUGAGCCACCCAGGAGUCCCUGUUUUAAUUAUUUUUAAAAAGAUUUUUAUUUAUUUAUUCAUGAAAGACAUAGAGAGGCAGAGACAUAGGCAGAGGAAGAAGCAGGCUCUCUUCAGGGAACCUGAUGUAGGACUUGAUCCCAGGAUUCUAGGAUCACGACCUGAGCCAAAGGCAGAUGCUUAACCACUGAGCCACCCAGGCACCCCUGUUUUGAUUAUUUUUAAGAGAACAUUUUCUAAGGGGUAUUUCUACAACCUUGGUAUCAUUAUUAUGACUUACUGUUCUUUGUGCCAGUAGAACUCUGUAUCUGCAUUAUAGCCCUCAGGGCAGGCUAUCAGCUUUUACUUAUUUGUUAUAUUGUUGCUAUAUCCAACAGCCACCAUCAGCGCAUCUAGUUUAACGUCUCAUAUAUGAAGUAGUGAAUAUCCUACUUGUGAGUCAGAAGGGGGCAUAUUUUUUCAGCAAAGUUUAGACCACAACGUGUCGGUGUACUUUGGAGAAGAUUGCUAUGCUGAGUGCAUAGUUGAAAUUGAUGUUGACCCUACAGGGCUUUGGUGACUGGUUCUUCAAGACUUGGUAAGUAGAUUCCUUCCUCUUUUCUAGACUAGUCUUCCUUCUUCCUUGUUGCUUGGCUACUUCUUGUCCAUUCUUUGAUCUUUGACCACUUCCUGUGACUGCCUUCCAAGGUCUCCUUGUGUACUCAUGACACUGACUUCCUGUGCCAUCACUUAAUGUUUCACAUUUUAUUGUUAAUUUCUUAUUUAAUGGUUGUUUUUCUUGGCAGAUGCCAUGCAGGCUGACAUUAUGCUCAUUAUCCCCAGCACAAGCACAUAGUUCUCUGCAUGUAGUAAGUGAUAUAUAGGUGUGUAUGUGUGUGCACAUAUAUAUAUAUCUGUGCACACACAUACAUACACACGAAUGUAUUGAAUACUUGGUUCUUAAACUGAAGUGAAUGUAAUCCCUGAUUCACUGGGUCAUGCAGCUAGGGUGAAGGUCAUCCAGGGCCAACCAGGGCCUGAAAAAUAAUCACUUUGGGAAUAAAAUGGUGAUGCCUUUAUCUCCA